rnacentral:rRNA from 1 species
AUUGAACGCUGGCGGCAUGCUUUACACAUGCAAGUCGAACGGUAACAGGCCGCAAGGUGCUGACGAGUGGCGAACGGGUGAGUAAUGCAUCGGAACGUGCCCAGUCGUGGGGGAUAACGCAGCGAAAGCUGUGCUAACACCGCAUACGAUCUGUGGAUGAAAGCGGGGGACCGAAAGGCCUCGCGCGAUUGGAGCGGCCGAUGUCAGAUUAGGUAGUUGGUGGGGUAAAGGCUCACCAAGCCAACGAUCUGUAGCUGGUCUGAGAGGACGACCAGCAACACUGGGACUGAGACACGGCCCAGACUCCUACGGGAGGCAGCAGUGGGGAAUUUUGGACAAUGGGCGCAAGCCUGAUCCAGCAAUGCCGCAUGCAGGAAGAAGGCCUUCGGGUUGUAAACUGCUUUUGUACGGAGCGAAAAGGCUCUCUCUAAUAUAGGGGGCUCAUGACGGUACCGUAAGAAUAAGCACCGGCUAACUACGUGCCAGCAGCCGCUGUAACAC